ensembl:lncRNA
UGCCUCUGGGCCAUGGUGCUCCAGGCCCAGUCCUGGCCACUCCACCAUGGCAGGGCAAGUGGUAACACCAGAAACUGCUGGCACCUCAGCUAGGCUAGCCCUGUCUAUUUAUGCAUCACCACAGUCAUUUGGUAUUUAGACAGCAAAUACAGUGCUAAAACAGAAUUACCACCUGUAUGUUUCCCUCUCUCUAUCUCAGAUUGUUUCCCUCUCUCUAUCUCAGGUUGUAUUUGAGAAAAUUAAGUGUGUAUACAUUAGUAUCAACAGUCCCAAAUGUAGUCUUUUUUUUUUUUUUUAAAUAAAUGUCAAGGCCCCAGAAAGCUUGAUAAACCAAUUUUUUGCCUGAUUUGCAAGGCAGGUAAAACAAGAAAUCAGCAUCACCUGAAGGUCUCUAAUAGUUUCAAGCUUUUACUUUUUUGAAACACAACCAUAUGAAAAUCUUGUGACUAUACACUACAUAUGGACUCAGUGGCUGAAAUACUCUUCAGUUUAAUUUUGUCUGCCUCCUUCCAUUUUAAUAACUGAUUAUCUUCCUGAAUAUACUCUGCAAAUUAAUUGACUCUAUGGUUUGACUACAAAAAACAAAGGUAUAAUCCAUACCUUUUAUCCAUGCAUGACAUUUAGGUGAUUAGGAAGCAAAGCAUGAGGUCCAAAAAAGCACAGUAAUGUAUUCGUAACAAUAAAAGGGAGUCUGAUUUCUUUCCCAAGUGGAGUGCUAUUAAAAUAGCUUAAAAGAGUUAAAAAUAGAAAGUUUGGCAGACACAUUAUGCACUGCGUGUACUGUUGAAUCCCUUUGCUUUCAAGGCCAUUUCAAAGGUUUUGAUUUAAUGUCAUAAUUCAAGGCUCUUAUUCCACACUGAAUAGGAAAACACAUGCACACACAGAAAACAUACUAAUAAAUACAACAAAGGACCCAGCUCCUGUAGUAUGUAACCAGCCAAUAUUCGCAAUGAAACUGAAAGUCUUAGUGUACACAUAGGGGGAUUUUUGCCUUUUCACUUUUAACUGUCCACCUAAAACUAUCAUAAUACUUUUUCAUACACCAGUACGUUGAAAACCUUCAUUGGUUGUUAAAGCACUUUUUUAAAUUUUUAGUUUUUAUUUUUUUCUAAUUUACCACUAAUAUUUACUGAAAAAUUACCAGCUAUCAUUGCUGCUCAUUCGCCUGCAGGUGAGUCGACAAUUGCAUUGCUCUGACAGCUCCUUGUGCAACUCAGCUGCAUGUGUCUCAUGUUGAAAUGUAAAAUUCCACUAAGUGAAGAAAUAAAGAAGACUGUGCCCC